rnacentral:rRNA from 1 species
GCAAGCGUUGUCCGGAAUCAUUGGGCGGAAAGCGCGCGUAGGCGGCCCGGUAAGUCCGCUGUGAAAGUCAAAGGCUCAACCUUUGAAUGUCAGCGGAUACUGCCGGGCUAGAGUCCGGAAGAGGCGAGUGGAACUCCUGGUGUAGCGGUGGAAUGCGCAGAUAUCAGGAAGAACACUGACGGCGAAGGCAGCUCGCUGGGACGGUACUGACGCUGAGGCGCGAAAGCGUGGGUAGCAAACAGG